GGAGUCUAGCAUGUGCGCGAGUCAUUGGGAUUCUGCACUAAACCUAAAGGCGAAAUGAAAGUGAAGGCGCGCCUCGCGCGCGCCUAGGGAGGAUGGGCGACCGAUCGAGGCAACCCCGACGUCGGAAGCCCCGCACUCCCGGGGCGUCUCAUUCUCAUCGCGAGAAGAGGCGCACCCAGAGCGUACACGCUGGGACCCGAAAGAUGGUGAACUAUGCCUGGUCAGGACGAAGUCAGGGGAAACCCUGAUGGAGGUCCGUAGCGAUUCUGACGUGCAAAUCGAUCGUCGGAACUGGGUAUAGGGGCGAAAGACUAAUCGAACCAUCUAGUAGCUGGUUCCCUCCGAAGUUUCCCUCAGGAUAGCUGGCGCUCGCUGUGCGCGAGUCUCAUCCGGUAAAGCGAAUGAUUAGAGGCAUUGGGGUCGAAACGGCCUCAACCUAUUCUCAAACUUUAAAUGGGUGAGAUCUCCGGCUUGCUUGAACGCUGAAGCCGCGAGAUCGGAUCAGAGUGCCAAGUGGGCCACUUUUGGUAAGCAGAACUGGCGCUGUGGGAUGAACCAAACGCGGAGUUAAAGCGCCUAAAUCGACGCUUAUGGGAUACCAUGAAAGGCGUUGGUAACUUAAGACAGCAGGACGGUGGCCAUGGAA
rnacentral:rRNA from 1 species